UUGCGAGGACAGCUGCUUUGAUGAGGUUGAGGGACUCUUCAAGAUCAUCACAUAUUUGGUGAGGAUCAGGAAUGGUUUCUUCUUCUGCUGAUAUUAUGAAGAUCAAUUUGUUGACAUAACUUACAGCAUGAAUCAUCAAUGCGUUGGGUUGGCCAUAACAAGUUGGAGCAUAAUAGGAAAUUUCAUGGCCACAAAAUGCAAUUUCAUCUCCAGUUCCAGGUACAUUGGAGAACCAUAGUGUCGUAUUUGAGAAAACUUUGUAGUUAAGAUAUCCUG
rnacentral:misc_RNA from 1 species